UACAGAGGCUCCAAGCGUUAUCCGGAAUCACUGGGCGUAAAGGGUGUGUAGGUGGUGAAGUUAGUUGCUUGUUAAAGCCUCCCGCUUAACGGGAGAAUCGCUGGCAAUACGGCUUCACUAGAGGAUGCGAGGGGUAAAUGGAACUCAUGGAGUAGGGGUGAAAUCCGUUGAUAUCAUGGGGAACACCAAAAGCGAAGGCAAUUCACUGGCGCAUUCCUGACACUGAAACACGAAAGCGUAGGUAGCGAAUGGG
rnacentral:rRNA from 1 species